UACGUAGGAGGCAAGCGUUGUCCGGAAUUAUUGGGCGUAAAGAGCGUGUAGGCGGCCAUGCAGGUCCGUUGUGAAAACUCGAGGCUCAACCUCGAGACGCCGGUGGAAACCGUGUGGCUAGAGUCCGGAAGAGGAGAGUGGAAUUCCUGGUGUAGCGGUGAAAUGCGCAGAUAUCAGGAAGAACACCCGUGGCGAAGGCGGCUCUCUGGGACGUGACUGACGCUGAGACGCGAAAGCGUGGGGAGCAAACGGG
rnacentral:rRNA from 1 species